ACGAAACGGCAAUUAUAUGUUGUUGGAGAGCGGACCUGGCGGCGUUGUUGUUGUCGUGGAGUUGUUGCUGUAAUUUGAGCUCGGAAGCCUGAGCGGAGAAGAGGUGGUGCAGAGUCUCGGUGAAGAGGAGAGUCAAGUCGAGGGUGGCGGAGAUGUCCUUGGCGAAAACCUUCCAGAGUUCCGAGAAGAAUUUGGCGGCGGCAUUGAAGGCAUCCAUUGCAAGGUGACGGCCAAGGGCAGUGGUGCGGUCGCAAGAGGCUCCAAUCUGGCUGUAUAUGGCGCCAAGGUUGAAGAGAACAGCAGCCUUCUCCAAUUGGAUGCUGUUGCGCUGCGAGGAGACUCCAUUCUCAUGCUCAGAGUAGAAGGCGUCGUACCAGACAAAGACGAUGGGGUCGGAAUGGGAGUCGGAGGAGAUGGCGGUGAAGAGUGGGUCAACCAUGCAAAGACAUUUGAAGUAGUGAAUGAGGCAGUCACGUUGCAUGGGAAGGGAGAGGUCCCCUCGCCCCACCAUGUCGCUGCGGCAUUUGUUUAGGGUUUCCAGAAUGCUUUCAACACUCUGUGCAUCGCUCUCUGAAUAUUUUCUCGCUACCAAGUAGCGUAACGGCCGGUACAGAUCCACCGGAUCACUCUUCUUCAGUGGGAUUGACAGCAUCUUGUCCGGGUUCGGGUUCGGGUUCGGGUUCAGCAAUCCCGCAUCCCCUUGGUCGUGGCCAUGGUGACGACGAUUGAGUAUAUGAUCAGGAAGGUGAAAAUCGAUGAAAAUUGGAACCACUAUGUAUGUGAUUUAUUUCAAAUUUAUAAAUAAAACUUCCACUAGUUAAUUUAUGUUAGUAUUUAAAACUUUUUAACACAACAGUUACAUUGUCUCAAAAUAAUAAUAAUUCGGGGCCAAACACUAGUUAGCAAAUUUGGGACAAGUAAAACUGUAAAAGGUAUAAUGGAUCAACAUGAAUAGCAAAAUGAUGUAAAACUACAAUAUUAUUUUAGGCAAUUACUCCCAUGAAGAUGCCAAAAACAUCUUCUCAUCAUGAUCUUUGUUUAAAAAGUAUAAUUUAUUUAUUUAGCAACACUUUAAAUAAAGGUAACACUUUUACUUCAAAUAAAAUCAAGCCCUACAAUCUAUCAUCUAAUGGUCAAAAUGAUAUAUCUUCACAUGAUGAUAAUCAUUAAAUCUUCAUUGGAGUAGCUACCAUUAUUUUACAUGGUCCAGAUAUUAUAUAAACUGCAAAGUCAGAUAAUCAAACUUUGGGGAUUAUCAUUCUUCACUAGUUCAACCAACAAUAAUACAAAUCCUUUAAGUAAAGAGUUGCAAAUAAUAAAUAAUAAGACUAAAAGAAGAAAAUAUGCAGUUAAUAACUAUUCUAAUGAAAAGCCAACAAAAGAAAAACUUAUUUCAAUUAUACUUUUAUGACUAAACUAUGAACCGAACAAUUUACUGAAAUGAAUUAAAGCCAAAAAAAAAAGUUUGAACAAAGCAGGAUGAAUAAUCUUGAUCCCACGUAACAUCAAUGUCAUUAUUAAUCUCAUGAUCAUCAUCUCCUUCAUAGAACAAAUGUUGACAGAGGCAAAGUUUUUUCAAAAUACAAAGUGGGGAAGCCCAAAAAAUUAGAAGAAAUUUUGUUCAUCCACACAGUAAAAUUGGAUUUUGUACAUAAUUAUUCAAUACCAAAGAAGAAAUUCAUUAUUUUUUUUGUUUUAUUACUUUGAAUUUGGGAUUAUCAAGGUUAUCAUAGAAACACAUAUCAUCAGAAAAGAAAUUUUUACCAGAUGACAUCAAACUAAUUUAAUCAUGAAUAUUUACCAACAAUACAAAAUGAUUAGUGAACCUUCAACCUGGGUAAGAAAGAAAACCGCAAUAAACAAAGCAGAACUCAUCAAUGGAUCUUGCAGCACAUCAUAAAAUUGUGUAGAUAGAAACAAUAAAUUUUGAAGGAAUAGUUUUGAACAAGAGUAACUAAUUCCUAAAGCUUAUUUAGUUUAAAAGAAAAAAAAAAGUUAAUUCCUAAAGCUCACAUAGUUUUUCUCUAUGGUAAUGUUAUUGUGGUGGUUUGGACUCCUGCAAGUUCAUGUCCUUCAAUGCCAACCUUAGUGCCUCUAAGGUUGCAUUGGCCACAAGAUUCCCAUCCUUAAUAUUGACCGGGCUGAUCUGUGAGAGAAGGUCCAAGCAUGGUGGUUGACAUCCUUCUACAAGCAGGGAUUUAGCCUUACCAUACCCUGAAAGAAAUUGUUCAGUGAUAUAACCAAGAUCAGUUACAACAGGGCAGGUUUUCAUCUUCAGAUAUUGAGGUAUCGAGGAUUGAACAAGAUUCUCAGCCAAAAGCUCAAGUGUCGACAGAUCAUAAGCUUUCUGAUAAAGCCGAGGAACCUGCAUCAUCCCAAUCACACAAUUUAACAAAUCAAGAUUGAUAUCAAUUAAAAUAAUCAGCUGAAGAGCUAGAUGAUGAUAUAUACACGAUAGAAUUAAUUUACUUCAUGAAGGUUCAAUUGCUUUUAUUUAGACCCCAAAACUUUGCAAAGGUGAGUCAUUAGCAAAGUUUGAAGAUUAAACAGAGACAAUUGAAAUUUUAAGAACUAAAUUUAGAUUCACGUGCUAGUUCAUAUUAUCGCCUACCGGAGAUGAUGAUAGAUCAGAAUAGGAAUGAGGACAAUUCCAUGUCAACUCGGCAAUCUGAGCUGCUAUUAUCUCUUUCACCAUCUUGGCCCGUUCUACUGACAAGUCACUGGUGGUGGCAGAUACCUUCCCAGCCUCAAGCCACAGUUUCGAGAACCAAUGCGAAGCAUCAUUUAAGGCGUCCUUGGCAAGGCGAUGGCCUUGGAUGGUGGUGAGAUCGCAGGAGAGAGCAAUUCGCUUGGAGAGGGCUCCCAGGUUGAAGAGAACAGAGGCCUUCUCGAAAUGGAUGUUGUGCUGAGAAGAGUUCUCUUGUGAGUUGAAUGAAUUGUACCAAACAAAGAUAGGUGGAUUGGGUGAGGUAGUCAUGGGGAACAAAGGCUCAAUCAUGCAAAGGCAUUUCAAAUACUGGAUGAGGAAAUCACGGCGAACGGGUAGAGAGAGGUCAUUACGCUGCAUUUCACUGCGCAAUUUGUCUACCGUUUUGAAAAGGCCUUCUACUCUGUUUGCCUCGCUCUCAGAGUAUUUAAGGGCAACAUAACUGCGAAGGGACUCAUAGAGGUCCAAGGGCUCACUCUUCUUCAAACCGAAUGACAGCAUACCUGACGAAGAAGAGAGGAUUGCGAAAUUUUUUGGAUAAGGAGGAGGCAUGUCCCAUGGGUUAGCCACCAGCUUUCCACCAUCCAUAAUCUUGAAAGGGCUGUUCUCGGAGAGGAGGAGGUCAAGGUAUAUUAGUUGUUGCUUGGGUGUCCACAGGUCCGAGUGCCUGCAAAUCCCUCUAACUAAUUUUUCGGUGAUGGAUUCUGCAUCAUGAUCAAGGGGACAAGAUUGGACCGAUGAGGAUGUUUUAGGUCGCUUGGGUUUGGGUAGGAUGGAUGAUUUCCUCUGAAGAGCCUCCGCCUGAAAGAAUUUCUUCUUCUGAUGAAGAUGAGUUAUCCAAGUUUCGUCAAAUAAGCAGACAUGCUUGAUUGCAGCCGAAUCACCAAGUAUAAGAUCAUAUGCACUCAGAUAAUGCUUGCAAACCUACAUCAUCAUCAUCAUCAACAUCAUCCUUUUGAAAAUCUAAAAUGAAAAAACAAAUGCAACAUCAGUAAGUGUCAAGAGUCAAGACAGACCGAUUUAAACGAAUCGUCGUGGAGUUGUUGCUGUAAUUUGAGCUCGGAAGCCUGAGCGGAGAAGAGGUGGUGCAGAGUCUCGGUGAAGAGGAGAGUCAAGUCGAGGGUGGCGGAGAUGUCCUUGGCGAAAACCUUCCAGAGUUCCGAGAAGAAUUUGGCGGCGGCAUUGAAGGCAUCCAUUGCAAGGUGACGGCCAAGGGCGGUGGUGCGGUCGCAAGAGGCUCCAAUCUGGCUGUAUAUGGCGCCAAGGUUGAAGAGAACAGAAGCCUUCUCCAAUUGGAUGCUGUUGCGCUGCGAGGAGACCCCAUUCUCAUGCUCAGAGUAGAAGGCGUCGUACCAGACAAAGACGAUGGGUUCGGAAUGGGAGUCGGAGGAGGUAGCGGUGAAGAGUGGC
rnacentral:lncRNA from 1 species